UCUAAAACAAGCAAUGAAUACAAAUCUAUCAUGAAUAUCACAACAAGGUAGAUCUAUAGUUUGGGGCUAAUCCUACAAACCUAUCUGAACCCUAAACCUAACAGGUGGAUCUAUUCAGACAUGAAGUUUGUCACAUAAAUCAUAGAUGAAUAGAUGUAAAACUGAAAUAGAAAUGAUUAAGAAAACCAAUAGAGUUCCAGGAGGACUCUGAUAGGAGUUCCUCCCUUCUUUCCUCUCAGAGAAACAAUGGAAAUGAAAGCUAAAGAAG
rnacentral:lncRNA from 1 species